AUUGAACGCUGGCGGCAGGCUUAACACAUGCAAGUCGAGCGGAGUGAUGGUGCUUGCACUAUCACUUAGCGGCGGACGAGUGAGUAAUGCUUAGGAAUCUGCCUAUUAGUGGGGGACAACAUCUCGAAAGGGAUGCUAAUACCGCAUACGUCCUACGGGAGAAAGCAGGGGAUCACUUGUGACCUUGCGCUAAUAGAUGAGCCUAAGUCGGAUUAGCUAGUUGGUGGGGUAAAGGCCUACCAAGGGGACGAUCUGUAGCGGGUCUGAGAGGAUGAUCCGCCACACUGGGACUGAGACACGGCCCAGACUCCUACGGGAGGCAGCAGUGGGGAAUAUUGGACAAUGGGGGGAACCCUGAUCCAGCCAUGCCGCGUGUGUGAAGAAGGCCUUAUGGUUGUAAAGCACUUUAAGCGAGGAGGAGGCUCUUUUGGUUAAUACCCAAGAUGAGUGGACGUUACUCGCAGAAUAAGCACCGGCUAACUCUGUGCCAGCAGCCGCGGUAA
rnacentral:rRNA from 1 species